rnacentral:rRNA from 1 species
CGGUGGAGCAUGUGGUUUAAUUCGAAGCAACGCGAAGAACCUACCAGGCCUUGACAUGCAGAGAACUUUCCAGAGAUGGAUUGGUGCCUUCGGGAACUCUGACACAGGUGCUGCAUGGCUGUCGUCAGCUCGUGCGUGAGAUGUUGGGUUAAGUCCCGUAACGAGCGCAACCCUUGUCCUUAGUUACCAGCACGUUAUGGUGGGCACUCUAAGGAGACUGCCGGUGACAAACCGGAGGAAGGUGGGGAUGACGUCAAGUCAUCAUGGCCCUUACGGCCUGGGCUACACACGUGCUACAAUGGUCGGUACAAAGGGUUGCCAAGCCGCGAGGUGGAGCUAAUCCCAUAAAACCGAUCGUAGUCCGGAUCGCAGUCUGCAACUCGACUGCGUGAAGUCGGAAUCGCUAGUAAUCGUGAAUCAGAAUGUCACGGUGAAUACGUUCCCGGGCCUU